rnacentral:lncRNA from 1 species
GAAGCGAGCGGCUCUCAGGAGGAUGGGGCGCGAGUUGGGCAGAGCAUGACUCCCAGAGGCAGGGUAAGAUGGGGGCUGGGAAGGGGCCACUGCGGUGACCAGGAGGCACCCAGGUCACACCCGGCUAUGGUGAACGUGGGUAGAGUAACCUUGCUGGACUCUGGGCUCCUCCUCUUUCUAAAAUAUACCUUGUCCUUAUUCAUUGCACAGUGGAGAAACCUGGCGGACACCACGCUGACCGAGAGAUGAAGGUUAAUAUCACUAGCACCGAAGGGAUACCACACACCUCCUGAUGGGGUUCCCGCU